GACGAACGCUGGCGGCGUGCUUAACACAUGCAAGUCGAACGGAAAGGCCCUGCUUUUGCGGGGUGCUCGAGUGGCGAACGGGUGAGUAACACGGGAGUAACCUGCCCUUGACUUUGGGAUAACUUCAGGAAACUGGGGCUACUACCGGAUAGGAGCUCCUGCUGCAGGGGGGGGGUUGGAAAGCUUGUGCGGUUGGGGAUGGACUCGCGGCUAAUCAGCUUGUUGGUUGGGGAGUGGCUUACCAAGGCUUUGACGGGUAGUCGGCCUGAGCGCGUGACCGGCCACAUUGGGCCUGCGAUACGGCCCAGACGCCUACGGUGGGCAGCAGUCGGAAAUAUUGCACAAUGGGCCGACGCCUGAUGCAGCGACGCCGCGUUCGGAAUGCCGGCCUUCGGGUUGUAAACCGCUUUCGCCUGUGACGAAGCGUGAGUGACGGUACUGGGUGAAGAAGCACCGGCUAACUACGUG
rnacentral:rRNA from 1 species